UUAUCAAAAACAUGUCCUUUUGAAUAUUAUUUAAGGUCUGAUCUGCUCAAUGAGGUAUUAAAUUGCCGCGGUAUUGUGACCGUGCGAAGGUAGCAUAAUAAUUAGCUUUUUUAUUGAAAGCUGGAAUGAAUGAUUGGACGAGAAAAUAUCUGUCUCUACUAAAUUUUUUUUUGAAUUUAACUUUUAAGUUAAAAGGCUUAGAUUUUUUAAAAAGACGAGAAGACCCUAUAGAGUUUAAUAUUUAAUUUAUUAAGAGGUUAUUGGAAUUUAAUUCUUUUAUUAGUUUAUUUAUUUGGUUGGGGUGACUAGAAGAAAUAACAAACUCUUCUAUUUUUUUGUUACUGAUUUGUAAAUAAUUAUUCUGGAUUUUUCAAGU
rnacentral:rRNA from 1 species